GCGCCGGUAAGGUGAUAUGAACCGUUAUAACCGGCGAUACCCGAAUGGGGAAACCCAGUGUGAUUCGUCACACUAUCAUUAACUGAAUCCAUAGGUUAAUGAGGCGAACCGGGGGAACUGAAACAUCUAAGUACCCCGAGGAAAAGAAAUCAACCGAGAUUCCCCCAGUAGCGGCGAGCGAACGGGGAGGAGCCCAGAGCCUGAAUCAGCAUGUGUGUUAGUGGAAGCGUCUGGAAAGGCGCGCGAUACAGGGUGACAGCCCCGUACACAAAAGCGCAUGUGCUGUGAGCUCGAUGAGUAGGGCGGGACACGUGGUAUCCUGUCUGAAUAUGGGGGGACCAUCCUCCAAGGCUAAAUACUCCUGACUGACCGAUAGUGAACCAGUACCGUGAGGGAAAGGCGAAAAGAACCCCGGCGAGGGGAGUGAAAAAGAACCUGAAACCGUGUACGUACAAGCAGUGGGAGCCCCACCACUAAGCCAGUGGUGAACUCCACAUACGCAUCCUUUGCUGAGGAUACGGUUAACGGAGCGAAAGCGACGUUCAACCGCAAAAAAAGAAGCAGAGGGGGCUUAGUGGUGGGGUGACUGCGUACCUUUUGUAUAAUGGGUCAGCGACUUAUAUUCUGUAGCAAGGUUAACCGCAUAGGGGAGCCGGAGGGAAACCGAGUCUUAAUUGGGCGUUAAGUUGCAGGGUAUAGACCCGAAACCCGGUGAUCUAGCCAUGGGCAGGUUGAAGGUUGGGUAACACUAACUGGAGGACCGAACCGACUAAUGUUGAAAAAUUAGCGGAUGACCUGUGGCUGGGGGUGAAAGGCCAAUCAAACCGGGAGAUAGCUGGUUCUCCCCGAAAGCUAUUUAGGUAGCGCCUCGUGAAUUCAUCUCCGGGGGUAGAGCACUGUUUCGGCUAGGGGGCCAUCCCGGCUUACCAACCCGAUGCAAACUGCGAAUACCGGAGAAUGUUAUCACGGGAGACACACGGCGGGUGCUAACGUCCGUCGUGAAGAGGGAAACAACCCAGACCGCCAGCUAAGGUCCCAAAGUCAUGGUUAAGUGGGAAACGAUGUGGGAAGGCCCAGACAGCCAGGAUGUUGGCUUAGAAGCAGCCAUCAUUUAAAGAAAGCGUAAUAGCUCACUGGUCGAGUCGGCCUGCGCGGAAGAUGUAACGGGGCUAAACCAUGCACCGAAGCUGCGGCAGCGACGCUGAUGCGUUGUUGGGUAGGGGAGCGUUCUGUAAGCCUGCGAAGGUGUGUCGUGAGGCAUGCUGGAGGUAUCAGAAGUGCGAAUGCUGACAUAAGUAACGAUAAAGCGGGUGAAAAGCCCGCUCGCCGGAAGACCAAGGGUUCCUGUCCAACGUUAAUCGGGGCAGGGUGAGUCGACCCCUAAGGCGAGGCCGAAAGGCGUAGUCGAUGGGAAACGGGUUAAUAUUCCCGUACUUGGUGUUACUGCGAAGGGGGGACGGAGAAGGCUAUGUUGGCCGGGCGACGGUUGUCCCGGUUUAAGCGUGUAGGUGUGUGUUCCAGGUAAAUCCGGUUCACUUUAACACUGAGGCGUGAUGACGAGGCACUACGGUGCUGAAGCAACAAAUGCCCUGCUUCCAGGAAAAGCCUCUAAGCAUCAGGUAACAUCAAAUCGUACCCCAAACCGACACAGGUGGUCAGGUAGAGAAUACCAAGGCGCUUGAGAGAACUCGGGUGAAGGAACUAGGCAAAAUGGUGCCGUAACUUCGGGAGAAGGCACGCUGACACGUAGGUGAAGUGAUUUACUCAUGGAGCUGAAGUCAGUCGAAGAUACCAGCUGGCUGCAACUGUUUAUUAAAAACACAGCACUGUGCAAACACGAAAGUGGACGUAUACGGUGUGACGCCUGCCCGGUGCCGGAAGGUUAAUUGAUGGGGUCAGCGCAAGCGAAGCUCCUGAUCGAAGCCCCGGUAAACGGCGGCCGUAACUAUAACGGUCCUAAGGUAGCGAAAUUCCUUGUCGGGUAAGUUCCGACCUGCACGAAUGGCGUAAUGAUGGCCAGGCUGUCUCCACCCGAGACUCAGUGAAAUUGAACUCGCUGUGAAGAUGCAGUGUACCCGCGGCAAGACGGAAAGACCCCGUGAACCUUUACUAUAGCUUGACACUGAACAUUGAGCCUUGAUGUGUAGGAUAGGUGGGAGGCUUUGAAGUGUGGACGCCAGUCUGCAUGGAGCCGGCCUUGAAAUACCACCCUUUAAUGUUUGAUGUUCUAACGUGGACCCGUGAUCCGGGUUGCGGACAGUGUCUGGUGGGUAGUUUGACUGGGGCGGUCUCCUCCUAAAGAGUAACGGAGGAGCACGAAGGUUGGCUAAUCCUGGUCGGACAUCAGGAGGUUAGUGCAAUGGCAUAAGCCAGCUUGACUGCGAGCGUGACGGCGCGAGCAGGUGCGAAAGCAGGUCAUAGUGAUCCGGUGGUUCUGAAUGGAAGGGCCAUCGCUCAACGGAUAAAAGGUACUCCGGGGAUAACAGGCUGAUACCGCCCAAGAGUUCAUAUCGACGGCGGUGUUUGGCACCUCGAUGUCGGCUCAUCACAUCCUGGGGCUGAAGUAGGUCCCAAGGGUAUGGCUGUUCGCCAUUUAAAGUGGUACGCGAGCUGGGUUUAGAACGUCGUGAGACAGUUCGGUCCCUAUCUGCCGUGGGCGCUGGAGAACUGAGGGGGGCUGCUCCUAGUACGAGAGGACCGGAGUGGACGCAUCACUGGUGUUCGGGUUGUCAUGCCAAUGGCACUGCCCGGUAGCUAAAUGCGGAAGAGAUAAGUGCUGAAAGCAUCUAAGCACGAAACUUGCCCCGAGAUGAGUUCUCCCUGAGACUUAGAGUCUCCUGAAGGAACGUUGAAGACGACGACGUUGAUAGGCCGGGUGUGUAAGCGCAGCGAUGCGUUGAGCUAACCGGUACUAAUGAACCGUGAGGCUUAACCUU
rnacentral:rRNA from 1 species